rnacentral:rRNA from 1 species
UGCGUAGGCGGCAUGUUAAGUUAGAUGUCAAAUACCCGGGCUUAACCCGGGGACGCAUCUAAAACUGGCGUGCUUGAGUGCAGGAGAGGAAAGUGGAAUUCCUAGUGUAGCGGUGGAAUGCGUAGAUAUUAGGAGGAACACCAGUGGCGAAGGCGACUUUCUGGACUGUAACUGACGCUGAAGCACGAAAGCGUGGGGAGCAAACA